rnacentral:lncRNA from 10 species
AUAGGAAUGGCAAAUCUAGGAGACAGAGCCCCCUGUUUUCUUUAGAAACUUCUUCCCAGAUGGCACUCCCUUGGACAGCAUUGCAUCUUUGGCUCUUUGUGGCUGCCCAUAGAGGAGAACAAUGCUUUGCCACUUCAUUCUUGGGCCCACGCUGAAGAACCAGUCUUUUUCUGAAACAUUGCUAAGAAUGUGGCAGAAGGAAGAGAUAUGGCAGAACUUCAUCAUGGCCCUGACAAACUCUGCUCUGAAAACCUUCAUGAUGGUGCUGAAAACUGACUCCCCCUGAGAGUUCCUUGGCUAAAUGAGUCACUUGGCCAAGCCUGACAUCCUCAGAGUGGGAAAACAAUCUUCCCAAAAUAAGGGCACCAUAAAUUACAUAGCCAAACCUCAUGUCAGUAGAAUGGCAGGUAAAAUCCUCCCACAAGAAGGAGCAGCAUAUAUUUGGAAAUAAAAAAUGCAGUCCACUACAUCUCAAUCAUUACAGCCUCAGAGGCUGAAAAUUUGUCACAGGGUGAUAUGGUUUGUCUGUAUCCCCACCCAAAUCUCGUCCUGAGUUGUAGUUUCCAUAAUUUCUGUGUGUCAUGGGAGGGACCUGGUGGGAGGUAAUUGAAUCAGGGGACAGGUCUUUCUCAUGCUCUUCUAGUGAUAGUGAAUAAGUCUUAUGAGAUCUGAUAGUUUUAUAAAGGGGGGUUCUUCCACACACGCUCUCUCGCCUGCUGCCAUGUAAGACGUGACUUUGCUCCUCAUUUGCCUUCCGUCAUGAUUUUGAGGCCUCCCCAGCCAUGUGGGACUGUGAGUUAAUUAAAACUCUUCCUUUAUAAAUUACCCAGUCUCGGGUAUGUCUUUAUUAGCAGCAUGAGAACAGAUUAACAAAUGUGUUUAGCUAAAAAUUGAGGCUUCAUCAUUAUAUAAGAAAGAGGAUAGAUAUAGGGGACAUUAAGCAGUCUUCUUUAGUGGCUACUCUAGUAUUUUAAUUUACUUAACACCUUUAUUGUCCUCUCAGACAAUAAAAAACCUUAUGACACUUUAACCCUUAUCAUCUUCCCCACAACUUAA